rnacentral:snoRNA from 1 species
AGGCAAUGAUGACAAAUUUAUGUUUCUCGAUUCUGAUUUGGAUUUUUUCUUAAAUUCAUUUAAUUUAAGGACCAAAUAGCUUUUUGAUGACAGCGUUUGUGCGUGUCUGAGCCUU